UCACAGUGGCUGGUAUGGAGCUAUAUUCUGUACUUGUGCUGAACACAGGGCUGAUAAUACAGAGAUGUUUUUGUUAUUGCUCAGCAGGGCUUACACUGAUGCAAGGCCUUUUCUGCUUUUUGUUCUUGCACACUGCUGAGGAAGAUGGGGGUGCAUGAGAGGUCGAGAGGAGACACAGCUGGGACAGGUGACCCAAACUGACCAAAGGGAUUUCCAGACCAUCAUGCUCAGGACAUAAAGUGGGGCAAAGAAGGAGGAAAGUUGUGGGCGGUGAGUGAGCGGCUGCUGGGCUUGGCUGCUGGCUGGAGUUAAACUGUGACAGAUGCUUCUCUGAGUCCCAAAGGAAUUAGAUUACAUAGUUGCCAAGCCAAUCUGCAUGGUACUUAAAAAGUCCGGGCAGUCAGGUGAAGACCCAGGUUACUAAGAAGAGCAGAAAUAUUGGACCCACCUUUAAAAAAGGUUUGAAGAUAGAGAUCAGAAAAUGAUGGACCGAGAUGGAUAUGGUGGAAAGGGUACUAGUUGAAUGACAGGAGGCAGCCUGUCUAAUACCUGUCAAAUGGUGAUGGCUUCCCUGAACCUUCUGCUACAGCAUAUCAUCAGCCAUCACAUGGCUGCAGGCACCAGGAGUGGCUUGGUGAGAUCCCAUGGUAGCCCCUCACUCCCAGGCAUUUCCCUAGCAGCCCCUCUUCUUGCUGCCUUUGGGAAAUACUUGCUACUUCACCAUCUGCCACCCAGCAAGCCGAGUAUGUGCGAGGAGGUUUCUCAAUCAAUGCUCUCCAGCAGCUGUGGGGCCACAGACACUCAAAUCUGGGGACAUCUCAUCUCAAGUCAGCCCAGCUAGCUGCUGCUGGUGGCCACUGUGAAGAGCUUUCAGGGCCUCUCUAAAGACCAGGGGAGAGAGGUGAGCUGUGAGAUAGGUAUCUGCCAGCUCUGCUGUCCCAGUGAUCGAUACCUAGCAAUAAGCACUGCUGGGGAUCAGACCAAAGCACGUAUAGACGGUGAAAUUUCCUUUUUUUUGGGUACACCAGAGACCAAGAUCAGGGAGUGACAGAAAUCUGUCCAGGCUUCCUUCCAACAUGGUGAACAUGCUACUGAAGACUGCCUUCCGAGGAAACAGUGUUUGAGUUUGUACCCAAAGGUACCCUCUAUGAGGAGUUAUGGGGGAGAAUAUGCAGAAAUGUUUUUUAGGAAUAUCUUGCUGUUUUUCUUCCAUGGAUAGUGCAAUGAAUGGGAUAGAAGUGGUAGUAGUGGUGAAGCCUCUGUGAUGGAGUGGAAAAAAUAGAUGUUCUGUUGUCUAAAGAAAAAUGCAUGUGCAUCACCAUGGCCCUUGCAUGCCCCCAUGGUCUAAAAAUUAAGAACUGACUUGAACAGACAUCACUGAUAAGAGUGGCUGUGUACUUGAUUAACCUUUUUGCCCUACGGACUAAUUAGGCAGCUGAUGGGGACAGCUUCACAGAUGGUAAUAUUUGCUUUCUACGAACUUGUUCCCUUUUCCCUUAAGCUGCACCCAAAAGUAUCCAUUAUCUAACUAAGCCAUCGCAGAUGGUGAGAUGACAACAAGCAUGAGUCAGUUAUGGUACUGUACUGUGUCAGGGAGCAGUACUUAAAGGAAGGGUUGUGUGUUCAUUGUGCUGGGAGCACAGCUCUGGGAAUGCUUUAUGUAUAGACCAGAUCCUGGGGUUUACUACAUGAGGAGGUGUGUAACCACAAAGGUGUGAAGGGCAGUGAUGGGGGAGGACUUUUCCAGCAUUACACACAUUUCAAUGCAGUAGGGUGUUCUUGUGUUUCAAAGGCAUUUGAUGUAGGGGUGUAAUAAAGUUUUUAUUGCUGUAUACCUGGAGUUCUUGCAACAUUUAGAGUUGGUAAAAACCUUGCAUGCUGAUAUCAGGGGAUAUCAAAUGGCUCCUGAUUGCAAGCGUGGGUGUAAAUACACUGCUUUUCACUCCCUUUCUGUGGAACAGACCUGUGUCUCUGAAGAAACGAGAAGGACGGGGAAGUAUGCUGUAAAAAGAGCUACAAAUGUUGCAGAGGAGGAGCAGAGCACAUGAAGAAGGUCUCCUGCCAUCCUGCAGAUACUGAGGGGCCGGUGCAAACCAAGCCUUGAGAAAAGGCUCAGAAGAGCCAGACCUGUUCCUCUACCCACCCUCAUUUCCCCUGCACUCUUCCUGGAGCAGAGACAAUGCAGGCCAUUUGGGGCAGCUCCAUUUGAGCAGAGAUCUUCCUUACCAUAUCCCAGACAUGGUAGGUUUAGAGGGUGCCAGAGAAUAUUUACCCAAUGUGUUUACUAUUGCUGGCCCUUCAGAGCCCAUCACCAGCCAUUCCCUGGUUGAGGCUCCAUCUCUACAUCCAGUAUCAGGCAUCAGGUGCCCUAUAUCCUCUGUCGAGGGAUCUCCA